rnacentral:rRNA from 1 species
UACGGGGGGGGCAAGCGUUGUUCGGAAUUACUGGGCGUAAAGGGCUCGUAGGUGGCCAACUAAGUCAGACGUGAAAUCCCUCAGCUUAACUGGGGAACUGCGUCUGAUACUGGAUGGCUUGAGUUUGGGAGAGGGAUGCGGAAUUCCGAGGUGUAGCGGUGAAAUGCGUAGAUAUCUGGAGGAACACCGGUGGCGAAGGCGGCAUCCUGGACCGGUAUUGACGCUGAGGCGCGAAAGCCAGGGGAGCAAAGCGGG